CGCCAGGAUACUACAAGCUCAGCUUAAAAUCCAAAGGACUUGACGGUGUCCCAUAUCUCUAGAGGAGCCUGCCCCACAAUCGAUAAUUCCCGCUAGACCUUACCAUCUUUUGCAACCCCAGCUUGUAUACUUCCGACGCAAGUUUACCAUUUGAACGAUCAGUGGGCUUAAUGUUCCCAUUUAACCAGUACGUCAGGUCAAGGUGCAGCCUAUAAGAUGGGGGUGGUGGGCUACAAUUUCUAAAACUAGAACAUACGAAAACCUGUAUGAAAAAUCAGAAAUGAAGGUGGAUUUAGAAGUAAAAAGAAAAUAGAGUGUUCUUUUUAAUAUAAGCGCUGGGACGAG
rnacentral:rRNA from 1 species